GGAGCCUUAAGACUUGCCGGAGAAAGCCUGGACACAGCGGAAAAACCCAUUGGAGGACCUCUGGUCCUACCACCCUUGAAAUACAGCUCCGAUCUUCGAACCCAAGGACCAGGAGAGGUAAAGAGUGAAUCGGUGAAGGAGUUUCAGGUCUUGGAUGGCCAUGAAUGCCGGUGAAGUGAGCAAUAGGACUAGGAUUUUCAAGAAACCUAGAGAGCAUUUGGGAGUGAAG
rnacentral:lncRNA from 1 species